AUACGUAGGUGGCAAGCGUUGUCCGGAAUUACUGGGUGUAAAGGGCGUGUGGGCGGGGAUGCAAGUCAGAUGUGAAAUUCCGGGGCUCAACCCCGGCACUGCAUCUGAAACUGUGUCUCUUGAGUGCUGGAGAGGCAAGCGGAAUUCCUAGUGUAGCGGUGAAAUGCGUAGAUAUUAGGAGGAACACCAGUGGCGAAGGCGGCUUUCUGGACAGUAACUGACGCUGAGGCGCGAAAGCCCGGGUAGCGAACAGGAUUAGAUACCCUGGUAGUCCACGCCGUAAACGAUGGAUACUAGGUGUAGGAGGUAUCGACCCCUUCUGUGCCGGAGUUAACACAAUAAGUAUCCCACCUGGGGAGUACGGCCGCAAGGUUGAAACUCAAAUGAAUUGACGGGG
rnacentral:rRNA from 1 species